GGACGAACGCUGGCGGCGUGCUUCAUACAUGCAAGUCGAACGGACACCAGUCGGUGGCAACACCGAUGAAGUGUUAGUGGCGAACGGGUGAGUAUCGCGUGAGGAACUUGCCCCGGACUCUGGGAUAACAGGUGGAAACACCUGCUAAUACCGGAUGCCAUCGGUGGAUCGCAUGGUCUACCGAUGAAAGAAUUUCGGUCCGGGAUGGCCUCGCGGCCUAUCAGCUAGUUGGUGGGGUAAUGGCCUACCAAGGCAUCGACGGGUAGCUGGUCUGAGAGGAUGAUCAGCCACACUGGGACUGAGACACGGCCCAGACUCCUACGGGAGGCAGCAGUAGGGAAUCUUGCGCAAUGGGCGAAAGCCUGACGCAGCAACGCCGCGUGCGGGAAGAAGGCUCUCGGGUUGUAAACCGCUUUUGGCAGGAACGAAAAUGACGGUACCUGCAGAAUAAGGUGCGGCCAACUACGUGCCAGCAGCCGCGGUGACACGUAGGCACCAAGCGUUGUCCGGAUUUAUUGGGCGUAAGGAGCUCGUAGGCGGUUCAGUAAGUCGGGUGUGAAAACUCUGGGCUUAACCCAGAGCCGCCAUCCGAUACUGCUGAACUUGAGUACGAUAGGGGAGUGGGGAAUUCCUGGUGUAGCGGUGAAAUGCGCAGAUAUCAGGAGGAACACCGGUGGCGAAGGCGCCACUCUGGGCCGAAACUGACGCUGAGGAGCGAAAGCGUGGGUAGCAAACAGGAUUAGAUACCCUGGUAGUCCACGCCGUGAACGAUGGGCACUAGGUGUAGGAGGUAUUGACCCCUUCUGUGCCGAAGCUAACGCAUUAAGUGCCCCGCCUGGGGAGUACGGCCGCAAGGCUAAAACUCAAAUGAAUUGACGG
rnacentral:rRNA from 1 species